rnacentral:rRNA from 1 species
UACGGGGGGAGCAAGCGUUGUUCGGAUUUACUGGGCGUAAAGGGCGCGUAGGCGGCCACCGCAAGUCAGUUGUGAAAUCUCUGGGCUUAACCCAGAAAGGUCAACUGAUACUGCGGGGCUAGAGUGCAGAAGGGGCAACUGGAAUUCUCGGUGUAGCGGUGAAACGCGUAGAUAUCGAGAGGAACACCUGCGGCGAAGGCGGGUUGCUGGGCUGACACUGACGCUGAUGCGCGAAAGCUAGGGGAGCGAACGGG